GUGAACCCAUGUGAACAGAGAAACAGCUUCACAUGCCACUACACUCCAACUACAGCAAUGAGGGCAAAAAUCAGAUUCAUUCAGAUUCACUUGAUUGGCUUGAAACCAACACAAUUCAUCAUGAGUGUAACAGGACCUACUACACCUGAAAUUGUUAUGGAACUCCUGGUGAGAAAGAAGAGCCUUCUGUGAACCCAUGUGAACAGAGAAACAGCUUCACAUGCCACUACACUCCAACUACAGCAAU